CGCACGGGUGAGUAACACGUAUGCAAUCCACCUGUAACAGGGGGAUAACCCGGAGAAAUCCGGACUAAUACCCCAUAAUAUGGGCGCUCCGCAUGGAGAGCCCAUUAAAGAGAGCAAUUUUGGUUACAGACGAGCAUGCGCUCCAUUAGCCAGUUGGCGGGGUAACGGCCCACCAAGGCGACGAUGGAUAGGGGUUCUGAGAGGAAGGUCCCCCACAUUGGAACUGAGACACGGUCCAA
rnacentral:rRNA from 1 species